GAUGAACGCUGGCGGCGUGCCUAAUACAUGCAAGUCGAGCGGACGGACGCGGAGCUUGCGUCUCUGAUGUUAGCCGAAGACGGGUGAGUCACGCGUGGAUAACCUACCUAUAAGACUGAGAAAACUUCGGGAAACCGGAGCUAAUAGCGGAGAAUCUUUUGAACCGCGUGGGUCAAAAGUGAGAGUCGGUCUUUAUGUCAGUUCUAGAUGGAUGCGCGCUGCAUUAGCUGGUUGGUGAGGUAACGGCUUACCACGGCAACGAUGGAUAGCCGACCUGGGAGGGUGACCGGGGUCAUUAGGACUGAGAUAGGGAGCAGACUGCUACGGGAGGCAACAGUGGGGAGCAUUGCAGAAUGGGCGGGAGCCUGAGGCGGCAACGCCGGGAGCGUGAUGAUGGGCUUCUAGUUAUAAACCGCUUUCGCCUGUGACGAAGCGAGAGUGACGGUAAUGAGUAAGGAAGCCCCGGCUAACUACGUG
rnacentral:rRNA from 1 species